rnacentral:rRNA from 1 species
UGAGUAACACGUGGGCNNAUCUGCCCUGCACUUCGGGAUAAGCCUGGGAAACUGGGUCUAAUACCGGAUAGGACCNUUAGACGCAUGUCUUNUGGUGGAAAGCUUUUGCGGUGUGGGAUGGGCCCGCGGCCUAUCAGCUUGUUGGUGGGGUGAUGNCCUACCAAGGCGACGACGGGUAGCCGGCCUGAGAGGGUGUCCGGCCACACUGGGACUGAGAUACGGCCCAGACUCCUACGGGAGGCAGCAGUGGGGAAUAUUGCACAAUGGGCGCAAGCCUGAUGCAGCGACGCCGCGUGGGGGAUGACGGCCUUCGGGUUGUAAACCUCUUUCACCAUCGACGAAGGUUCGGGUUUUCUCGGAUUGACGGUAGGUGGAGAAGAAGCACCGGCCAACUACGUGCCAGCAGCCGCGGUAAUACGUAGGGUGCGAGCGUUGUCCGGAAUUACUGGGCGUAAAGAGCUCGUAGGUGGUUUGUCGCGUUGUUCGUGAAAUCUCACGGCUUAACUGUGAGCGUGCGGGCGAUACGGGCAGACUANAGUACUGCAGGGGAGACUGGAAUUCCUGGUGUAGCGGUGGAAUGCGCAGAUAUCAGGAGGAACACCGGUGGCGAAGGCGGGUCUCUGGGCAGUAACUGACGCUGAGGAGCGAAAGCGUGGGGAGCGAACAGGAUUAGAUACCCUGGUAGUCCACGCCGUAAACGGUGGGUACUAGGUGUGGGUUUCCUUCCUUGGGAUCCGUGCCGUAGCUAACGCAUUAAGUACCCCGCCUGGGGAGUACGGCCGCNAGGCUAAAACUCAAAGGAAUUGACGGGGGCCCGCACAA